CCUCCCCAUCUAAAACCCUAAACCCCCAAACCGGAGCGAACCUGUCAGAAACAGGACACAAACCGAGCUCGCAUUCUCGCUCAGCCAUGGCGAUCAGUAGCGAAGCCCUGAACUCCCUGAAACUCACAGACCCAACGCAGUUACUGACGCCGAGCCCCGCGCUCUCCCAAACGGCUCGAACCGCCUUGCAGAACCUCUUCUCCUGCCUCAGACCGUUCACGCCCAAAUCGCCAUUCGAUCAGCUGUUAACAGACGGCUUCGACGCCGAGCAGAUAUGGCAGCAAAUCGACCUCCAAUCGCAGCCUCUCAUCUCGAGCCUCCGCCGAGAUUUGAAACGGUUCGAGAAAAACCCGGACGAGAUUAAGACGCUGAAGGUGCUUGUACAAGGCCAAGAGAAGGUUCUGGAAGCUGAAAAUGAGGGUUUAGAGAAGGAAAUCGAUGGUUCUGAUGAGGAAUUAGAUGAAUUAGAUGAAGACGAUGAGAAGGAGCAAGAGGAAGAAGAAGACGAAGAAGAAGGUGAAGAGAAUGAGAGUGAGGAUGAAGAGGAGGGAGAAGACAGUGAAGGUGAAGGUGAAGGUAAUAAUGGGAUAGAGGAUGGGUUUUUUAAGAUAAAGGAUUUGAAGAAGUCUUUGGAGGAUAGUGAAGCUAGGGAAUAUGGGUUAAGGAAGACUGAUAAGAAGAAGAAGAAGAAAAAGAAGAAAGGUAGCGAUGAUGAUGAGGAUGAAGAAGACGAAGAGGAAGACGAGGAUGAAGAAGAAGACGAGGAGCUUGGAGAUUUAGACAUUGGCGAUGAUGAGGAUGAAGAAGACGCAGACAAGUUUGCAAGAUAUGAAGACUUCUAUGGAGGAAAAAAGGAAAAACCUUCUAAACGAAAACCAAAAUUGGUUGAUGGAUCAAAAGAUUUGGGCAUAUACAAUGAGGAUGAGGAUGAAGAUGAAGAUGAUGAAGAUGAAGUUGAAGAAGAAGAAGAAGAUGAUGAUGAUGAUGAAGAUGAACAAAAAGAUGAGAAGAAGCAGACAACUCUUUCUACCCAUGAAACGAAGCUUCUGAAACUUCGUUCCGAAAUAGAUCAGAUGGAAAAAGCAAAUUUGGAGCCAAAAAAUUGGACCAUGCGAGGAGAGGUAACUGCAGAGAGAAGGCCAAAGAACAGUGCGCUAGAAGUUGAUCUGGAUUUUGAACACAAUGUUAGACCUCCCCCUGUAAUCACAGAGGAGGUUACAGCAUCGAUUGAGGAUAUCAUCCAGAAAAGAAUCGAGCAGGGGCGUUUUGAUGAUGUUCAAAAGGCUCCGACUUUACCCUCUAAAGCACCAAGAGAAAUUAAAGAGUUGGACGAGAAUAAGAGCAAGAAGGGUCUAGCUGAAGUCUAUGAGGAAGAGUACGUUCAAAAGACAAAUGUGGCUUCUGGUCCGUUGUCAUUCACAGACAAACAGAAGGAAGAGGCAAGCAAGCUGUUCAAGAAACUUUGCUUGAAGUUGGACGCUCUUUCUCAUUUCCACUUUACUCCAAAACCUGUUAUCGAGGAUAUGACUGUACAAGCUAAUAUCCCCGCUCUAGCGAUGGAAGAGAUUGCACCUGUGGCUGUGUCAGAUGCAGCAAUGCUAGCUCCCGAGGAAGUGUUUUCAGGCAAAGGUGACAUUAAAGAAGAAGCAGAACUUUCACAGGCAGAGAGAAAGAGGAGGAGAGCUAACAAGAAAAGGAAAUAUAAAGCUAGGGAAGCAAAAAGGACGACGAAGAAGCCACGAGACAGCUAAAAGGAUGGCUAAGAAGCCAUGACACAGCAAGGUGCUAUCAACGGUCGAUGGGAAGGAAGGAUAAUGAGAUGGUGCAUAAGUUUAACUUAAGCCGUGGUUGCAACUGGUUGACUGAUUAGAGAAGAGGAAAAGAAGAAGAGCAUGGUGUUAGGCGGCUAAGGUGGGAGAGUUCAUGUUGAAGAUC